GCCGAAGUGGCGGAAUUGGUAGACGCGCUGGACUCAAAAUCCAGUAAGGCUUAACCCCUUGUGAGGGUUCGAGUCCCUCCUUCGGCA
rnacentral:tRNA from 1 species